rnacentral:sRNA from 1 species
GCCAGGUGCAGUGGCACACGCCUGUAAUCCUAACAGCUCAGGAGGCUGAGGCAGGAGGAUCAUGAGUUCAAAGCCAGCCUCAGCAAAAGUGAGGCACUAAGCAACUCGUGAGACCCUGUCUCUA